AUUGAACGCUGGCGGCAGGCCUAAUACAUGCAAGUCGAGCGAGCGGCGGACGGGUGUGUAAUGUAUGGGGAUUUGCCCGAGAGAGGGGGAUAACUACUGGAAACGGUGCUUAAUACCGCAUACUAGCGGAUGAACCCAUAUGGGAGUAUGUAGUAGGUGGGGUAAAGGAUCACCUAGGCGACGAUCUACAGCUGGUAUGAGAGGAUGAUCAGCCACACUGGGACUGCGACACGGCCCAAAAUCCUACGGGAGACAGCAUAGGGGACGAUUCCACAGUAGGCGCAAGCCUGAUGCAGCCAUGCCGCGUGAAUGAAGUAGGCCUUAGGGUUGUAAAGUACUAUCAGCGGGGGGGCGUUACCCGCAGAAUAAGCACCGGCUAACUCCGUGCCAGCAGCCGCGGUAAUAC
rnacentral:rRNA from 1 species